rnacentral:rRNA from 1 species
AGCGAACGCUGGCGGCAGGCUUAACACAUGCAAGUCGAGCGGGCACUUUCGGGUGUCAGCGGCGGACGGGUGAGUAACGCGUGGGAACGUGCCCUCUGGUUCGGAAUAACUCAGGGAAACUUGAGCUAAUACCGGAUACGCCCUUUUGGGGAAAGGCUUGCUGCCGGAGGAUCGGCCCGCGUCUGAUUAGCUAGUUGGUGAGGUAACGGCUCACCAAGGCGACGAUCAGUAGCUGGUCUGAGAGGAUGAUCAGCCACACUGGGACUGAGACACGGCCCAGACUCCUACGGGAGGCAGCAGUGGGGAGUAUUGGACAAUGGGCGCAAGCCUGAUCCAGCCAUGCCGCGUGAGUGAUGAAGGCCUUAGGGUUGUAAAGCUCUUUUAUCCGGGACGAUAAUGACGGUACCGGAGGAAUAAGCCCCGGCUAACUUCGUG